UUUCCCUUAGAAGAAAAAUUGGAGUUUCCUGUUUAUUAAUAGACCAGUUGUGUACAGCGAAAUUUAAAGUUGCCAAAUUUUGGCUUGUAAUUAAAUAGAUUUUAAUAAAAUGGUGGAAUUUGGUUCGGGACCAGUGAAAGAAACAAUAGACAAUACUGUGUUUAUCAUACCUGGUAUAAUAAUAGCAAUUUUAGUAGGAUUUUUUACCUGGAAAUUGGUAGCAAGCCUUAGAAAUAAACAGAAAUUAAAAGACGAAAAAAAGAAGCUCAAACAACAAAAGAAAGAUAAAGAACUACAGAAAAAAAUUAAGAAAAAAUAAAUACUAGACCUAUUUAUUUGAGACUCUUUUCAAUUUAAAAUAUAUUGUUACAAAAUGGUUAUGGGAUUUGAAAUGGUAGCAGUUCAACAGGUAGACAAGAUCAAGGUGAUGGAUAAAUUUACAUAAAGAAGCCAAAAACUAAUUAAAAUAGGAAAUAAUCUUUACCUAUGUAUAUUAGUUAUUAGAGCAACUCCUGGCAAUUUGAGGAAUAAUUUACACAAGAUAAUUUAUAACAAAUGUUUGUUAAAGUUAUUUAUAUUUCUGUUGAUUCUUGAUUUAUUUUUAAGUUGGUAGAUUAUUUAACUUUGUAGAUUUCUGUUAAAAAUAAUAUUUAGUGAAUGUUCAAUGGAUACCUGUAUAACAUCAAGGCAAUAGCUACAAGCUUCUAUUUUUUUUAUUUUUUUUGAUCCAUCUAUUUAAAAAUAAGAUCACUUUUCAGAAUAACAAAGAUGAAUAUCAAUAUUCUGUCUUGUUCAUAGUUAUUUAUAUGACAAUCAGGAAGCUAAUGGAAGUCCACUGAAUGAGCAUAAUGCACAAGACAGAGAUAUUUGACUUUGAGAAUAAUAUUUAAGUUUAUUAUUGAAUUGAAAUCAUAGUAUGUAAAAAAUCAUUAUCAUUUUACCUCAUUAUCAUAUUCAUUUUGAAAUGUGAUAUCCUUAAGUCAGCACAACACAAUUUUACCAAAACAUUCUAGGCAAUCCAGAUCUCUUUGACCAUCUUAGACACAGGUUACGAUAAUCGUAAUCGCCUUCGUCACUUGUCUGCCACUUUCUCUAUUUUGAUGCAUCUUUGGAAAGGUUAUUAUUUAAUCCCACUGGUACAUUGUUAGGUUUUUAGCACUAUUUAUAGCAUGUGAAAGGAUGUUUUGGGGAUUCAGUAUUCUCAAAACGAUCAACAAAUAAUCCGUGGAUAAUGUAGAGAACAUGGGUUAUGUAGAAUUUGGGUCAUGCCCCUAGCCUUAAUGGGCAUUACUCAUUUUUGGAUGUUUGUACAUUGUAAAUACAUGUAUAUCAAAAUCUAUCCACUAGAAUGUUUCAAAUUUGUAAGGGCUGGAUCCCAGGAUGUUUGUUGCAAUGACUAAUUUAAUGAGGAUGGUUACCCAGAGGCCCUCAUUUUACUCAAAAUUGAAUAAAAACAUUUUCUACUGUAUAAUUUUAAUACACAGGUCAGAAUUCUAUGGUAUACAAUAACUGCUUAGUAAUUUUUUGACUAGGCUUUAUCAAGCAGUGGUCUAGUCAAAAUGUCGCUCAGUUAUAAGCAAUAAUUGUAUUCCAUAGAAUUGUGAACUGAAAGAAAUCUGAUAAUUUUAAGGUUAAAGACUUACUGUAAUUUCUAAUCCGUUAUGUGUGGCGAAAUGCUGGAAGAGUCAAAAUUAAAUGGCAGUCUUUGGCAUUUGGUUAUUUCAGUCUACACCGGUAGUAUUCUCCUGUGGGAUAUGUUUAGCCUCGUUCAUCGAGUCGCUUCAUUACAAAUGGUGCUCGAAAGCAUUCCGGCACACGAUUCGUGUGCCAAUUUUAAAAUUUUCAUUUUGUCUUAAAUAUUGGAUAUCAGAAGCCCAUGUUGUUGACCAAUAAGCUGUGUUUGCGUAAAAUAACAUCGAUAUUGUUGACCAAUAAGCUGUGUUUGCAAUGUCCAAGACUGUGGAUAAUAUAGAGUAGAGACCUGCCUCCUUUAAGUUUCAAAUUGUCAUACUUUUAAUUAAAAUGAAAAAUUAAUCAAAAAGAAUGUAAUCUAUAAAAAAAAAACCAAUAAUCAAAGGUAUUGUAAAUUGAUUUUAAAUUAUUUUUUUUUAAAAGUUGGUUUAACAUACAUUUGUGUUUACUAUCUUUUAAUUGUAACUGCUGCUAAUAUUAAAACACUGCUAAAUCACUGGUACUGCUUCUAAUAUAAUGUUAUAUAACACUGCUAGAUUUUGUGAGGCCCCUUCAGCUGUAGCUAGUAUAGGUAUGCCUAAACAGGGGCGGAUUGAGGAUUUUCAGAAGGGGGGGGCGUGCUGCCCCCACUUGGGAGUGCGAAGCUCGGCCCUCGGUGGGUGGACUGACAGGCAAUCAACCAAAUCACCAACCGGCUCUUUUCGGAGUAAAUUACGAUGGGGAUCACUACCAUUUUUAAGUAUUUUUGUUCUCCUUACCCGCAAAUUGUUCGCUACUGCAAAGGUGGGGGGGGGGGGGAUUCCCCCCUUGGAUCCGCGCCUGCUAAAUCUGUUCUUUAUUUUUGUUCAUCACUGAAAUGUCAAAUAAUGUAUGAUCAUUUGCACUUUUAUUAAAGUUAGAGAAUGGAAAUAAAAAAUAAUUGUAAAUCCUGCCAAUUCUUUUUGAGUGUCCUACUGAAAUCAAUUCAAGGGACACAACACCAAAAAGCAUAAUAUGAAUAUCAGUGAAAUGAACUGCAGGUUAACUUUCUACUUGUCUGGUUGAAUAUUCAGUACUAUCUAAGGAUUCAUUUUAAGGACCUUGUAUACCCUUCAGACACAAAUAGUUAUUUUUGGGAUCAACAUAUGCAAUUGUUCAAUUUAAUUUCAAUAAUUCGCUGGGACCUUAUGUGAGAGGAAACCAGAAGACCCAGAGAAAACCCAUGAUGCAAACAUUAAGAAACAUUUGUGCAUGCAAGAAAGGAUUGGGAGAUUCUCCAUUUCUAUUCUGGGGACAAAGUCCUCAAUAGCAGUACAUUUCUUUCGUGUAUUAAUUGGUUGAAUUACAUAAUGCUCAAGGAAUUCUACAUACUUAUUACAUCCAGGUGACAUUGAGAACAGGCACCAAGUCACUUUACAGAUACAAUUGUAAAAGAAAAGGCAGUUAUAUUUAUUUAUUUUUAUUAAGUAUUAAAAUGUAUGAAAGUAGCAGUAAUUAGUUACUGUACAGUAAAAUUAAUUAAUUUCAAAUAGUAUAUAUGUAUUGAUGUUGAAACUUCCACUAUUGGAUACUGAAUUCUUAAUGCCUUUUAUCAAAUUUCAUACCCAUUUCAAAACUCAGUUUCUCGCAACACCCCUGAGACAAUUCUAGAUUUAACCUUUCUUUUAAAAAUCUAAAAUAAUAGUUCGUAAAACAAAUGGGUUUAUUCUGACCAAUCCUCUUUAGACUAAAAUGAAAGAAACAAUUUCAUUUUUACUUUCAGGUAAUUAAUAAAAUAUGGGGUUAAGAAAUUUGAAAUACAUAUUUUAGAUUUUAAUCAUGUUAUUGGGCAUAAAGGACCAUAUUCACGAAAAAUAUGUCUUUAUUAUAAAUAUAAUGGGGGUUGUCAUUGUCUUCAUGGAGGUCAAUAUUUCUAAUUGCACAAACUAAUUAUGAUUGAUGUGUAAAUGAAUAUUUAAUAUUUGAUUAAGUUCUCCCAUACCUUAUUCAUGUAUGCCUUUAUGUUAAAUGUUGACCAUGAAAUAUUUUAAAAUAAAUUUUACCUUAAGA